rnacentral:lncRNA from 1 species
UUUCGGAACAUAUCAAUGGUAUGCGAAGCAUUUUGAUGUAUAUCAAUGGCAUAGGAAACAUUUUGGAGCAUAUCAAUACAAAAUAUGAAACAGAAGCUCAGACGUCAUACCCUAGCAUAGUGCAUGUGAGGUUUAACUCAAUGGUGGCUCCACGCCGUGAUGAGUUCUCGACUCCAUCCACGGGUAGCCCUUUCCUACUCGAGCCCUCUCA